rnacentral:tRNA from 1 species
GUAACUAAUGGUAAACGCUUAGUUUGUGACUCAUAAUCGUUAGGUCCCUGGUUCGAGUCCAGGUGGGGCCACCA